UACGUAGGGGGCUAGCGUUGUCCGGAAUCAUUGGGCGUAAAGCGCGUGUAGGCGGUUCGGUAAGUCCGCUGUGAAAGUCGGGGGCUCAACCCUCGAAAGCCGGUGGAUACUGUCGGGCUAGAGUACGGAAGAGGCGAGUGGAAUUCCUGGUGUAGCGGUGAAAUGCGCAGAUAUCAGGAGGAACACCUAUUGCGAAGGCAGCUCGCUGGGACGUUACUGACGCUGAGGAGCGAAAGCUAGGGGAGCAAACGGG
rnacentral:rRNA from 1 species